rnacentral:rRNA from 1 species
GAUGAACGCUGGCGGCGUGCCUAAUACAUGCAAGUCGAGCGAACAGACGAGGAGCUUGCUCCUCUGACGUUAGCGGCGGACGGGUGAGUAACACGUGGAUAACCUACCUAUAAGACUGGGAUAACUUCGGGAAACCGGAGCUAAUACCGGAUAAUAUAUUGAACCGCAUGGUUCAAUAGUGAAAGACGGUUUUGCUGUCACUUAUAGAUGGAUCCGCGCCGCAUUAGCUAGUUGGUAAGGUAACGCCUUACCAAGGCGACGAUGCGUAGCAGACCUGAGAGGGUGAUCGGCCACACUGGAACGGAGACACGGUCCAGACUCCUACGGGAGGCAGCAGUAGGCAAUCUUCCGCAAUGGUCGAAAGCCUGACGGAGCAACGCCGCGUGAGUGAUGAAGGUCUUCGGAUCGUAAAACUCUGUGAUUAGGGAAGAACAAAUGUGUAAGUAACUAUGCACGUCUUGACGGUACCUAAUCAGAAAGCCACGGCUAACUACGUG